AUUUAUUCUAAAGUCAUAUUAAACAAUGGCCAAUAAUUCAGCUCUUAUCUUAUUUACUGUCUCAAUUGUACCUAGCUGUUAUUGAACCAAAUUUACAAGCUUGGACUAUAUAUUUUGCAUCAGAAUUAUUGCAACAAGUUUGACAACAUAAUACAAUAUUAGUGGUAUAAAAAUGCCUGGAAUUUGGUCUCCCUCCUUUCACAGUUUAGUAUUGUAAGAAUUUAUCUUCUUUUCAGAUUAACUCUUUGUACCUGUAUAAUACACACAAGUCUCUCCUUUUGAACAAGAAUGCUGGAUCUCCUUCUCUGACUUUGCUUGAUGGUACAUCUAGAUGGACUGGUAAAAAUGGAGCACUGCCAAGCAAACCCCAAGAAAAUGUCCAGCCUCAACAUGAAGUUUUACUGGCUUCUGAGGAAGUGAAAGAUGUCUGAGUGCGGGACCUAGGGUAUGAAUUGUCAAGGGAUGUGGAGGAACAAAGAGAUCCACAGAUGGAUCAUUCAACUCCUGCCACAAUUAUGCUGUGUAAUGAAGAGCCAUAAAACCUCGGUGACAUAAAGUAAGUGUUUAUUUAUAUUUCUGGAAUCAACAGGGAUAGACUAGGGUCUCUGCUGAGCUUACCUGGGCUUACUCACACGCUUGGGUGUUUGGGAGGUCAGCUUGCUUCUGACUGUGUCCACUUUAUUGUCUGCAGUUC
rnacentral:lncRNA from 1 species